CUCGAAAGAUCGAACUCGUUUUGAUGCACCGAGGUGUGCAGUGCGAAAGCACAGUUGCAAAUUGUCUGCCAUCAGCAUUUAUGAGUUGAUGUACAUGCGUUUUUCUCGUUAAUCGCGCUAUUGACAACAAAGUGCAACAAAGUGUACGAAUUAUUAGAAUAUUGUGAUUCAAUUAAUCAACGAACCUUUGCGAGAGCACGCCAAAGAGGUCGAAAUUCAUAUACGAAGAUGUGCGGCGGGUUUACGUGCUCGAAAAACGCAUUGACGGCGCUAAACAUCCUUUACAUUGUUGUUGCGUUUAUUCUAAUAGGUGUUGCUGUUUAUGGAAGAGCUUCUGCGUUAGUUACAAAUCUUCCCAUAAUUGGAGGUAUUUUAGCAUGUGGUGUGAUUUUAAUUCUUAUUUCGAUACUUGGUCUCAUCGGAGCUGUUAAACAUCACCAAGUUUUAUUAUUCUUUUACAUGCUCAUUUUGUUCCUGUUAUUCCUGAUUCAGUUCAGUAUCGCUUGCGCUUGUCUUGCUGUUAAUGCCAAGCAACAAGAACAAUUAGCAGAAGAGGGUUGGAGACGUGUUGGAAAUGACUUGAAAGCAAAAGUUCAGGUCACUUUUACUUGCUGUGGAUUUAAUAAUACCGUAAAUACAAUAUUAGAAAAUCAAAGUCCGCUGUCUUGCACAGAUGUAAAUAAAAUUUGUUGUCCUUAUCCUGUAAACGAUGAUUGUGCAUGUAAAUCGUGUAUGGAAAAAUUAGAAUCUACAAUUGACUAUGCAUUUAAAUUGUGUGGCAGUAUCGGAUUGUUCUUUAGCUUCACAGAGUUCAUUGGUGUUUGGUUGACUGUGCGGUACAGGAACCAGAAAGAUCCACGAGCUAAUCCCAGUGCUUUUCUCUAGUCUAACACCAUCGUUAUGUCCUCUGUCACCUCAUACGAUCCUCCUAAUAGAUGGUGAUUGCAGCUUUCUUAGCAAGACGUUUCAGGAAUCAAUUAAAUCCACAUCAAAAAGUUGUCUUUUCUCGACGUGAUUAUUUUCAUUAAAUGCUUCAUCAUAGUUUAAAUAUACAAACUUUUAUUCAUGGUUUCUUAACAGAAACGUUAGACUGUAGUAUAAUUAAGUAUAUAGGAAAAUAUUCUAAUUUUAAUUAUCCUGAUAUCAUAUUUUUGAUCGAUUGAUCAUUUAGAAAUCAAAGAUCCAAUUUUCAUUUCUCAGUACAACAUAACUUUGCAUAAUUCCCAAGAAACUGUUUGUUUUUCACUGCAGUUUAUAAUGCUCAACAGGAAAAAAUAAUAUGUUUGGAAAGUGGACAGUUGUAGAUCUUCACACGGUUUAAAUGAACGACAGUUGAAAUGUGUGCUCUAGUCAUCCAUUUAGAACAAUUGUAUUAAGCCUCAAUGCGCCUUGUAGUAAUAUUUAGAUACAUUUAUGCGAGCGCGUUUCUACAAAACUUGGUUUAUUUAGAAAAAAAAACAUUUUAUGAACAUGCUCUACUAACAAUUUUUCGCCAUGAAACUGCACGUUUUAAAAAAUGUGCACAAGCAAAUUUUUAUAAAGUACAUAAUUUCCUUCUUUUUAAUUAUGUAAUUUGAUCUCAAUUGAAACAUUCUUGAUAUUCUAACCCGUUUUAAAUUUAUUUCAAAAAUGUUUUCAAUAUCCUAGAAACGAAUCCUAGAAACGAGUACCCGUUUACUGAAUUUUAUGGAAUAAUAAAACUCAACAAUUUUUAAUGAGAUUUUAAAUUAAAAGAAUAAUUUUAUUAUAAAUUAUAAAAUAGUAGUAUUGUGCUAAUGAAUUAAACAUAUUAAUCCUUUAAUGAUAAUUAAAAUGUGACACGAUAUUUAAGAUAUUUUAAAUAGAAAUCUUUCAUCUUGGUAUAUUAGCAUAUUACUGCCGUAUAUAUGUAUACAGGAUGAUAGUACUACCAGAAAAGAGACGAUCUUUUAUGCAAAAACAAAUUGAAGUAUAUAAUUGCAAGUCUAUAGCAAAGCUUUGUAUGCGACCUAAUGAUAGCAUUUUGGAAAACUGUCGGAAUUAACCUUAAAAGGUGUCUAUUUUAUCUUUACAAAACUAUUCUAAUCAAAUAUAGCCUAUACUGAAAUCCAUUAUAUAGAUUUACAACUGAAUAAGUGCAUGCAUAUCCGAUAGAUUUUCAAUAUUGUCUUUGUAAUUUUAGUAUAAAGUGUAUUUGAUUAAGAAGGUUUUUAUGGAUGAAUGGAAAAUCUUCCACUUAUAAUAUAAAUUCUAUUUGUUUUACAUGAUGUCACAGUGUUGCAUACAAAAUUUUGCUGGAGACUUACAAUUAGGCCAGGUAUAUGUAUGCAUGCAUAUCCAAUAGAUGUUUAAAGCUGUUUCUUCUCUAUAAUGGAAAGUCAUACAAAAAAAUUUGAUUCUAUAUUUUCAAUUUGCUUUUGCACGAAGAAUCACUUUAUCCUCAAUUGUACAUCCUGUAUAAUAAUAAUAUUAUAAUUAUCGUAUUAUAAACUUUAAAGUUGAGAAUUAAUUCUCUCUAAUUUUUAUAUUUCUUUUUCUUAUCAUUAAAGGUAUUAGGCUGCACACCCAUUAAGGGCAUCAUAUGAUGUCUUUAAGGAAGUAUGGGAAAAGAAUGUUUUGAAAUAUUGUGUUAUAUAAUUUCGUAUAAUAAGUCAUAAUAGUGUAACCAGUAUAGUAGUUAAUGUUUCGAAAAAUUCAUAAUGUAUUAUGUACAUUCAUUAAUAUAUAUUGAUUAUCGAAAUAAUUUACUUCGGUGUUAUCAUCGAUUUAAAUUCUAUGUCAAAGAACUAUAAAUAUACAUCACGCUUGGAACAUGUACACAUACAUAUAUAUUAUAAAAUAAGCGUCACGGGAUGAGCACUUACGGAUGCUGACUUUACACGUUAGUGUCAUAUUUGUUUUAUUAGACAUAUAGAUUAUUUUGACUCUACUGGAGAUAUUAAGGUAUGAAUUUUAUUUACAUUAAAGUUAUUGUUCAAACACGAAUUUUUCGUUACAUUUUAACAGUUAGGGGAAUUGAUCAAAUGAUGAAACAGAGUCGGAAUAUUAUAAAGACAGUUUAUUAUAAAGUUAUACUAAGGAUACAAAACGUAAAAAGCAUGCGGUAAAAAGAAACGUUGAGAGAGGCCCAACAAGAACAUAGGGGAGAGCUGCCAUUAGUGGAGACCAGUGGCUUUGAUCCAUCGAUUAAACGCAAAAAGAAGAAGUUGUCGAAAAUUUCAUUUUUGUCGACUUGACACUCCAUUUUAAUGAUCCGCAACUUAACAAAAAUUAAUUCGAAAAAAAGUGAAAAACAAUAUCUUGCAGAGCAAAUAAUUUUCUUUAAAAUGACAUAUAUCAUUACACAAAAAUAUUUUAUUUUUAACUCGAAAUUUUAAAUCGGAAAAAAACGCCAUGACUUAUGGGCCAACCCAAUAUGUCUAACAUCUCCUCUCAAUUAGAGCUCGGAAUGAGUCCAAGGCUUUUAAUGCAUUCGACGUUCUUCGUUUCUGAUGUAGCCUUAGUGAGGAUAUCGACGAUCAUCCUUUCUGUGGAUAGAUAUUCGAGAUUUAGUGGAUGGUUUUGCAAGACGUGUCGUAUAAAUGGUGCUUGAUGUCGAUAUGCUUCGACCUGGCAUGAUGAAUGGGGUUUUCUCCCUCAUCUUCUUGAACCCUAAUUCUUUGAUAAAAUUGCCAUUUUGGCACACACUUUUUUCAUGUUAAAAUUGUUAUGUAAAAUUUGCCGUACGCCUUCUUCGUCAAUUCCUACAGUUUCAGCAAUCGCACGAAUACUUAACCGAUAGUUUAUUAUAAAGUUACACGAAACGUACAAAGCACACGGUGAAAAGAAACGUUGAGAGAGGCCCAACAAGAAUGUAGGGGAGAGCCACCAGUAGUGACCAGUGGUGUCCCACUACGUCUCGAAUAUCUACCCACAAAAAGGAUGGUCGCCGAUAUCCUCAGUAAGGCUGUAUCGGAAACGAUAAACAAUGUUCUUCAAGCAGGCAAAUUGUGUAUCUAACAUUAACAACAAAACAACAGUAGCAUUUGAUGUUCACACAAGUAUUAAACGUAACAAAUUGUAUUAGAAAAUUUAUAUUUUAAUUAAUUGUAUAUCUACUUUGAAGAAUUUGUAAAUUAUAAAGAAUAUAUUAAUCCUUUAUUACACAAUUGUUGAAAUUUAUGAAAAAUUGUGUUUAAAGAAUCAAAACAUAAAAUGUAUUAUUAUCAAAUUAAAUUAUAAAACAUCUGAAA